rnacentral:rRNA from 1 species
CAGCACAGGAGAGCUUGCUCUCUGGGUGGCGAGUGGCGGACGGGUGAGGAAUACAUCGGAAUCUACUUUUUCGUGGGGGAUAACGUAGGGAAACUUACGCUAAUACCGCAUACGACCUACGGGUGAAAGCAGGGGAUCUUCGGACCUUGCGCGAUUGAAUGAGCCGAUGUCGGAUUAGCUAGUUGGCGGGGUAAAGGCCCACCAAGGCGACGAUCCGUAGCUGGUCUGAGAGGAUGAUCAGCCACACUGGAACUGAGACACGGUCCAGACUCCUACGGGAGGCAGCAGUGGGGAAUAUUGGACAAUGGGCGCAAGCCUGAUCCAGCCAUACCGCGUGGGUGAAGAAGGCCUUCGGGUUGUAAAGCCCUUUUGUUGGGAAAGAAAUCCAGCUGGCUAAUACCCGGUUGGGAUGACGGUACCCAAAGAAUAAGCACCGGCUAAC